AAGAAGUUAUGGUCCGCCGAAGUUUUACGGCAAAACCGGCACGACACCGGGAGACGUAAAUAGUGAAUUUACGAUAGAAGACUUUUUAGCCUUAUCAAUCUAAACAAAAGUCGUAGAAUAUGUUAAACUAAGAACAUCGAUAAAAAGAACGCCCAAAUCUGACUUCGUAUGAAGAAGUUAUGAUUUUUCUAAGAUUCGGCUUAGCAGUGCACGGCCUGAAACUCGAAUUUUAGUUCGAGCGGUUUUUGGCUUACGCAACGUAAAUGAGAGUUGAAGAUCUCAUUAAUAGGAAAUCAACGGUAAAAAGACAGACAAAAACAGAGUCCGUAUGUAGAAGUUAUUAAUUUUACGCAGACGUUUAACAGUAUAAUCUCCUUGUACUGUUAAAUUUAAGAUCGAUCGAGAAUUGGCUGACGGUGUCAAAAUGAAAGUUGUAGAUCUUAUUAUUACCUACGCGUGGAUAUAAAGAACGUCAAAAACGGAGGUCGUAUGUGAAAGUUACGGAUUUUAGAAGUCGGAAGUGUGCUGUGCGAAAAUGGGUGAUGUGGCACAAUCUUGGCCAUUGCUUUCUCCCCAAGGCUUGCCACCAGAUGGUGACAUGUGGCACCAAGUUCAGCCACAUUUCACCCUAUAAAUACCACCUCUCCCACCCUCAUUUUCUUCACACCUUUCCCAUUCUUUCUUCUCUUUACUCUCUCUCUCUCUCUAGAACCUCUCUCUAGCCCCGAAAUCCCCCGAAAAGCCUAGGGAACCUCCCUAGCACGAGGCAGAAGCCCCGGAGUGCUCGAAGGCUCCGAGAAGAAGAGCUUUUCGGCUCGGGAACGCUGCUCCAAGCAAAGCCCGGUUUUCUAUAAAACCCGCUGUUUCGUCGAAGAAAAUUCUUUUUAAGAAGCGAAGCGCUGUCUGAGUUCGGAAUCACCACCUUUUCAGGUAGUGGCGCUUGAGCAUAUAUAUGAUGUUUGGACGAGGGAUUACGGAUAUAGGCCUGUAGAUAUGAAAUAAUGUAGUAAGGCUUGUAUUGUACUGUUUAUGCUUUUGAUCUGUACGAACAUGACAUCCCGAGUCUUUUAAUGAAAUACAUUUCUAUGGAAA